UACGGAGGGGCUAGCGUUGUCCGGAAUCAUUGGGCGUAAAGAGCGUGUAGGCGGCUCGGUAAGUCCGCUGUGAAAGUCCAGGGCUCAACCCUGGAAUGCCAGUGGAAACUGUCGAGCUAGAGUCCGGAAGAGGCGAGUGGAAUUCCUGGUGUAGCGGUGAAAUGCGCAGAUAUCAGGAGGAACACCAAUGGCGAAGGCAGCUCGCUGGGACGGUACUGACGCUGAGACGCGAAAGCGUGGGGAGCAAACAGG
rnacentral:rRNA from 1 species